CCUACGGGUGGCAGCAGUCGAGAAUCAUUCACAAUGGGGGAAACCCUGAUGGUGCGACGCCGCGUGGGGGAAUGAAGGUCUUCGGAUUGUAAACCCCUGUCAUGUGGGAGCAAAUUAAAAAGAUAGUACCACAAGAGGAAGAGACGGCUAACUCGGUGCCAGCAGCCGCGGUAAUACAGAGGUCCCAAGCGUUGUUCGGAAUCACUGGGCGAAAAGCGUGCGGAGGCUGUUUCGAAAGUCGUGUGUGAAAGGUGCGGGCUCAACCCGCGGACGGCACAUGAUACUGCGAGACUAGAGUAAUGGAGGGGGAACCGGAAUUCUCGGUGUAGCAGUGAAAUGCGUAGAUAUCGAGAGGAACACUCGUGGCGAAGGCGGGUUCCUGGACAUUAACUGACGCUGAGGCACGAAGGCCAGGGGAGCGAAAGGGAUUAGAUACCCCUGUAGU
rnacentral:rRNA from 1 species